rfam:Streptomyces sp. AS58 P432contig130.1, whole genome shotgun sequence.
AGGGAAACGCCCGGUUACAUACCGAACCCGGAAGCUAAGCCUCACAGCGCCGAUGGUACUGCAGGGGGGACCCUGUGGGAGAGUAGGACGCCGCCGAAC